GCCUAAUACAUGCAAGUCGAACGAACUCUGGUAUUGAUUGGUGCUUGCAUCAUGAUUUACAUUUGAGUGAGUGGCGAACUGGUGAGUAACACGUGGGAAACCUGCCCAGAAGCGGGGGAUAACACCUGGAAACAGAUGCUAAUACCGCAUAACAACUUGGACCGCAUGGUCCGAGCUUGAAAGAUGGCUUCGGCUAUCACUUUUGGAUGGUCCCGCGGCGUAUUAGCUAGAUGGUGGGGUAACGGCUCACCAUGGCAAUGAUACGUAGCCGACCUGAGAGGGUAAUCGGCCACAUUGGGACUGAGACACGGCCCAAACUCCUACGGGAGGCAGCAGUAGGGAAUCUUCCACAAUGGACGAAAGUCUGAUGGAGCAACGCCGCGUGAGUGAAGAAGGGUUUCGGCUCGUAAAACUCUGUUGUUAAAGAAGAACAUAUCUGAGAGUAACUGUUCAGGUAUUGACGGUAUUUAACCAGAAAGCCACGGCUAACUACGUGCCAGCAGCCGCGGUAAUACGUAGGUGGCAAGCGUUGUCCGGAUUUAUUGGGCGUAAAGCGAGCGCAGGCGGUUUUUUAAGUCUGAUGUGAAAGCCUUCGGCUCAACCGAAGAAGUGCAUCGGAAACUGGGAAACUUGAGUGCAGAAGAGGACAGUGGAACUCCAUGUGUAGCGGUGAAAUGCGUAGAUAUAUGGAAGAACACCAGUGGCGAAGGCGGCUGUCUGGCUGUAACUGACGCUGAGGCU
rnacentral:rRNA from 1 species